rnacentral:lncRNA from 1 species
CAACCACUGGUGUUGGGUUUGACAUCUUGAAUUCGAUUUUGAUUGGUUAAUAGAAGCCCAAGACUCAAAAAUAAGUGGAGAAAUCACAAAAAUUGAGCUCAAUUGGAUUCGAACCGGAGGUGAACUGGCCAAUUUGGAGGUGAAUCGGUGAAGAACCAGCAGUAAAUCGACUGAACCAGUUGAAAACUGACUGAAAACCAAGUGAAUAGAUUCUAAACCGGACUGAACCGGUACAAAUUGGUGCUGAACCAGCCGCUAGACCG